GUAGGUGAACCUGCAGAAGGAUCGUUAUCGUAGGGCUUCGGCCCUGUCGAGAUAGAACCCUUGCCUUUUUGAGUACCUUUCGUUUCCUCGGCAGGCUCGCCUGCCAAUGGGGACCACAAAAACCACUUUGCAGUACCUGUAAUAGUCUGAACAAACAAACAAAAAUUAAAACUUACAACAACGGAUCUCUUGGUUCUC
rnacentral:misc_RNA from 1 species